GUUGUUGUGGCCGAGUGGUUAAGGCGAUGGACUUGAAAUCUGUUAUAAUUUCUCCGCACAGGUUUAAAUCCUGCUGAUAACG